GGUCCCGUGGUGUAACGGUUAUCACUCUGGACUCUGAAUCCAGCAAUCCUAGUUGUUCAAAUAUCGGCGGGACCU
rfam:Ciona savignyi cont_48519, whole genome shotgun sequence.